GACCUCAGAAACCGAACUAGCGUAUCAACAUCGGAUCGUCGCUUUAAAAACAGAAUCGAAGCGGCGUCUUAUCGAAUAUUGGAGUGUCAUCAUGAGCCCAUGACUCGAAACCACCUCGAAAAGCAAAAAGCCGCCGCCUCGUGCUCUCAUUGAAGACGCCCCUAAAGCGCUCAAAACGACGGAGCAAUUUAAAGCUGUCUGAUCUCACUGGCAUGAUGAAAACAACUACUUCCUUCGCUUGAGUUUGUAAACGGCUCGAACUCGGAAGUUAGGAGGUAGUGUUGGGGGAAAAAUGGAUCAUUCAAAGCACGUGGUCAAAUUGCUGGCACUUGAUGAUAAACGUGGCGACAACAAGCAUACUCUUCAAGCGCCCGACCACAGAGCGUCCGACCUCAGAGCGUUCGGUCGCGGCACUGGCGACCCCAGAGCUCACAACCUCGAUCUCGGCUGAGUUAAGCCCGAUCGACCUCAAGGCCAAGGAAGAUCCAGUCAAAGGGAGAAGCAGGCCUCCCCACUCCAUCGAAAAUCAAGUCCUCCUCAUCCGGGAUCAAAUCCUGCGAUCUCCGCCUCAACGACCGUCAAUAUUUAAAUGCACAUGAUCUUAACGGAUCACCAGCCAGCCCAAAAUCUCGGGCCAUUUACGGUAACCCAUUAAUUCGCACAAUCACGUCCAAUCACAGGUAACCCCUACACCCCCUCCUAUAAAAAGGGGGGAGAACUCGGGGCAAGGGGGAUUUUUUUCUCUUUUCCCUUCGUCCUCGGCCAUUAUUUUUUUCCAUUGCUUCUCUCCAUUAAAACCCCCCUC
rnacentral:lncRNA from 1 species